AACCGCCUCGGUAAGCCGACAUGAGAACGAAGUUGUAAGCGGCGGAGCCAAAUCCUCUGAACCCCCGUUUAACGACGCCGUUUUCAAGCACACGCCGGAGAAGCAGGAGAGGAGAUCGGAGUGGCAAUUGGGGACGGCGCAGGUAAACAGCUCCCGAGAUUCGUGGCUGCAGAGAUGGUGAAACGGGCGGGGAUAAACUGGAGAAUUGUGAUAAUAGAGAAGAGAAUGAGGAGAGCGGUGAGGAGAAGCUUCAGCUCCGGCGCACAGUUCCAGACCACCCCAACAAGCAUCUUCUUAUCACCGGCGCCACCGCCACCUUUCUCCUUAACGAUCAUUUCUCGACAAACUGAUCGAUUCGAUUCUUCUGGGCCUACCCCUUAGCAGAAAAUGAUGGUCCACAAACUGGGAUUGAAUGAAUAUAAUCGAGCAAACAAAUGCACUUUCCUCUACUGCAGCCUAGGAACACAACAUCACACAAGAAAACAAAAUCCACUACUGGAUCUUUCGCUGUUUCCUGUUUCUCUCUCUUAAUUAUAUAUGAAGGUAGGAGGUGUUGAUUGAUUA